GCCUGGGUGGCUCAGUGGGUUAAGCAUCUGACUUUGGCUCAGGCAUGAUUUCACGGUUCGUGGGUUAGAGCCCCGCGUCGGGCU
rnacentral:tRNA from 1 species